GCAAUGGCAUAAGCCAGCUUGACUGCGAGCGUGACGGCGCGAGCAGGUGCGAAAGCAGGUCAUAGUGAUCCGGUGGUUCUGAAUGGAAGGGCCAUCGCUCAACGGAUAAAAGGUACUCCGGGGAUAACAGGCUGAUACCGCCCAAGAGUUCAUAUCGACGGCGGUGUUUGGCACCUCGAUGUCGGCUCAUCACAUCCUGGGGCUGAAGUAGGUCCCAAGGGUAUGGCUGUUCGCCAUUUAAAGUGGUACGCGAGCUGGGUUUAGAACGUCGUGAGACAGUUCGGUCCCUAUCUGCCGUGGGCGCUGGAGAAUUGAGGGGGGCUGCUCCUAGUACGAGAGGACCGGAGUGGACGCAUCACUGG
rnacentral:rRNA from 1 species